rnacentral:rRNA from 1 species
CCUACGGGGGGCAGCAGUGAGGAAUAUUGGUCACUGGACGAGAGUCUGAACCAGCCAAGUAGCGUGAAGGAUGACUGCCCUACGGGUUGUAAACUUCUUUUAUAUGGGAAUACAAUGUUCCAAGUGUGGGAUUUUGUAUGUACCUUAUGAAUAAAGAUCGGCUAACUCCGUGCCAGCAGCCGCGGUAAUACUGAGGAUCCGAGCGUUAUCCGGAUUUAUUGGGUUUAAAGGGAUCGUAGGUGGGUUGUUAAGUUAGUUGUUAAAGUUUGCGGCUCAACCGUAAAAUUGCAAUUGAUACUGGCAGUCUUGAGUACAGUGGAGGUGGGCGGAAUUCGUGGUGUAGCGGUGAAAUGCUUAGAUAUCACGAAGAACCCCGAGUGCGAAGGCAGCUCACUAAACUGCCACUGACACUGAGGCUCGAAAGUGUGGGUAUCAAACAGGAUUAGAUACCCGAGUAGUC